ACGAUGCAUAUAAUCCGCAUUUCUUCUUCCGGGUCUGGUUGGAGGGCGAUGGUACGACAACGCCAUAGACACGCAGUUAGGACUUCGAAGUUGGAAGAGCGACGAAGGUGAGGAGGGAGGAGACGACAAAUGGCGGCCAUUUCAGUAUGACCGAAGAAGAAAGAGCGGUGGAUCAUGUCAUCGACAGGGAUGAUGGUGCCCUUAAUGUCCUCCACCUCGUCAUAUUCAUGGUGAACACAGGUCACUCGCGGCGGGUCUCUCGCGGUUAGUAAGUGUCUUUCCCAGACGGGUUGGACAGAGGGAGAGUUUGCUCCUCGGGCCAUCUCCGCCACAGCAGUCAUGAACUGGACGAGACCAAAUGCAUCGCUCAUGGUGUGGUUCAGGCGGAGAGCGAAGAUAAAGCCGCCACACUUCAGGCGUGUAACCUAUUGUAUUUUUAAAGAAAUCAAAAAUUAAAAUUCAAUUGUAUAUAGUUGAAUACUUUACAUACAUAUAUAUAAAUCAAAAUUACUGAGUAACUUGUGCUAAAAGGCCAACUACAUGCGAAGUUGGCAUGACUCUAACAGGAUACCAUCCAUUACAUGAAUCUUGUUAUUUUUUUUAAAUAUAUAUGUAUAUAUAUAUAAAUUACUUAAUUUAUGCAUAAUUAAUCAAUUGAUAUACUUUUUAAUACUUAGAUUUUUUUUUAAGUUUCAUAGUUUAAAAUCUUUUUUAUAAGGUGGAGAAUAUAUUGUUAGCAUGACUAUUUUUUUCAUGAAUAUUUAUUUAAAAUCUUUUUAUAUUUGAAUAUAUAAUAAAA
rnacentral:lncRNA from 1 species